rnacentral:rRNA from 1 species
UACGAAGGGGGCUAGCGUUGCUCGGAAUCACUGGGCUUACAGGGUGCGUAGGCGGUCUGUUAAGUAGGGUGUGAAAGCCCCCGGCUCAACCGGGGAAUUGCGCCCUAAACUGGCGGACUGGAGUGAGAUAGGGGUGUGCGGAGCUUCCGGUGGAGCGGUGAAAUGUGUUGAUAUCGGAAGGAACGCCGGUGGCGAAAGCGGCACACUGGAUCUCAACUGACGCUGAGGCACGAAAGCCAGGGGAGCGAACGGG